rnacentral:tRNA from 2 species
ACCAGGAUGGCCGAGUGGUUAAGGCGUUGGACUUAAGUUCCAAUGUACGAAUGUACGCGUGGGUUCGAACCCCACUCCAGGUA